rnacentral:rRNA from 1 species
GUUGUAUGGUUAAGUGACUAAGCGUACACGGUGGAUGCCUGGGCAGUCAGAGGCGAUGAAGGACGUACUAACUUGCGAUAAGCGCAGAUAAGGCAGUAAGAGCCGUUUGAGUCUGCGAUUUCCGAAUGGGGAAACCCAACUGCAUAAGCAGUUACUGUUAACUGAAUACAUAGGUUAACAGAGCAAACCGGGGGAACUGAAACAUCUAAGUACC